rnacentral:misc_RNA from 1 species
UUUAGCUUUUCCCACAUCCAAGCUCUCAAUUUUAAUCUUACAAAUUUAUAUUAUUUAUUUUUUCUUCUUAGUUAGUAGAGAAUACUGAGCUCAUAACUUCCUCUUGAAGGGAAUUAUAGCUACCAAUUUAGCUACCAAUUAAGCUGCCUUGGACGUACACUAGUUUGCUAAUUUGUAGGUGCAAAUCCUCAAUGAAAGUUAUUUCACUGAGGAUUUGCACCUACAAAU